rnacentral:tRNA from 1 species
GCCGAGGUGGCGGAACAGGCAGACGCGGCGGACUUAAAAUCCGCUGGCCCCUAAGGUCAUGUGGGUUCGACCCCCACCCUCGGCACCA